rnacentral:rRNA from 1 species
UUUUAUGGAGAGUUUGAUCCUGGCUCAGGAUGAACGCUGGCGGCGUGCCUAAUACAUGCAAGUCGAGCGAACGGACGAGAAGCUUGCUUCUCUGAUGUUAGCGGCGGACGGGUGAGUAACACGUGGAUAACCUACCUAUAAGACUGGGAUAACUUCGGGAAACCGGAGCUAAUA